AUUGAACGCUGGCGGCAGGCCUAACACAUGCAAGUCGAACGAGUGGCGGACGGGUGAGUAAUGUCUGGGAAAAUGCCUGAUGGAGGGGGGUAACUAAUGGAAACGGUAGCUAAUACCGCAUACCAUCAGAGGUGCCCAGAUGGGAUUAGAAAGGUGGUGGGGUAACGGCUCACCAAGGCGCCGAUCCCUAGCUGGUCGGAGAGGAUGACCAGCCACACUGGACCUGUGACACGGUCCAGACUCCUACGCGAGGCAGCAGUGGGGAAUUUUGCACAAUGGGCGCAAGCCUGAUGCAGCCAUGCCGCGUGUAUUAAGAAGGCCUUCGGGUUUUAAAGUACUUUCAGCGGGGAGGCGUUACCCGCAGAAGAAGCACCGGCUAACUCCGUGCCAGCAGCCGCGGUAAUUC
rnacentral:rRNA from 1 species